GGCCCCGCCCACCCAUCGCCUUUGCCACCCUCGAACGGGCAAAAGAAAGAAAGAGGCAGGUAAGGGGAGGCGAGGCCGUCCAAAAACGCUGGGUGUCAGCCCGGGGUGGCUAAUGGAGGGCGGCUUUUCUGGUGGGAUGAAAUGGAACGGCAAAUCCCACUUCAUCCCCUUUGGGCUAUGACAACAUCAUAGUCCAAUCUCCCAUUUUAUGAACAGGGAAACUGAGGCUCAGUGACUAGACAGACGUUGCCCAGAGUCAUGGUCAUGGAGGAAGCUUGUGCUAGAAUGGUGGAGAGGAAACCAGAGCCCAGCUCCUAAUGCAAGGCUCUUUCAUUCCUUUAGCCACCCUCGCCCCCGCCAAAACAAACAGACAAAAAACUGUCAUUCUCAUAUGACCACGGACUCUGCGCCCCGGCCGCAGGCGGAGGACAGGGAGGAGCGCACACGAGAAAGCUCCCACGCGCCCGCGCCUCGCCUCCGACGGGAAGGCGCCUCUUCCGACCGUCCUGGAUGCAAAUUAAAUACUUCCCUCCGCAGAAGACUUAUCUCGGGGUAGGGCCGCAGCCGGAUUUCCAAAUCGCGGGUUUGAUUUUCGCUGCGUCCUCUCCGCGACGCGCGCAGGGAGCGCGCCCGGCCACCUGCAGCCUCUGGCUGCGGCCAUCUUUCCGCCUGGGGCCACCUGGCCUGCGCCCUUUGUGCCCGGCCCGCUCCGUGACUGUUCUUCUUGCCGCUACUUACAGAACUCAGCCGCCUUAGCGUCUUAGAGAAGAGGACGGCAUGCAUGCGGACCCCGUCCACCACACCUGGAGAGCAGGGAGCCCUUAGUCCCUGGACACUUACCAGGGCCGCCACCCCUGGUCCACGCACGUGAUGACAUCUCACCAGGGGCAGCACACCGCCCGAGUCCGCGACACUGAUAACACCUCCUGCGGGCAGGAGGGCGCCACAGCCACCCCUGGUCCCCUAGAUUGUGUGAGGCUAGCAUUUCUGCCCGCCUCUUGGCGUGGACAGCACGCUGGACCGAGAUGGAACCACAGCUUUCUCUUCCCAAUCCCUGGCCUCACCGUUUUGUUUCAUACCUCACCGUUUGUUUCAAACCUCGUGGUGUUGAAAUGAUUAAAUGAGAUUAAGGGGUGUGUGGUAGUGUUGGGCAAACCACAAGAAAACGGUCUGGGUGGGGUCUGGCCCUAAAAUCUUCCUCCCCCACCUCCCAGGCUUCCUUGCCUUGCUGCUUCCUCUCAGCCUUUAAACAGGUUGGCCUCUCCAAGUCCUAAAAACAAAAUUAUCAAGCCAACCUCCUCCUGAAGUGCUCCCUCCAACUAGCUUCCAAGUGUUUCAUGCGGACCUCAAACAAUGGUCUUCCCUGGCUGCCUCUGCUUCCUCAUUUCUCAACACUUGGCAUUCUGGCUUCUCCUCCCCAACUCUAACCCUUCACCUUGCUCAGGCAAGAGCAACUCAUGACUUUCAUUUUGCCAAACCUUGCAGGCAUUCCUCAGGCCUUAUCUCUCUGGUUCUUUCUGCUACAUUUGACACCUUGGGAUGACUCUCACCUUCUGGAAUCUCUCUACUACCUUGGUUUCAGAAGAGUGAACCCUCUGGAUUAUCACAUGAAGCUACUUCCUGUGAGCAGCCCAGGGAUGGCCAGUCACUUGUGACCUACUUUCAGAGCUGGCAGUUCUGACUUCUAGAACAAACUCGGAACAAGCCCAUCUACAGCUGGUUGACUGAGUUUCCUUUGGGCUCCUGGCACCAGAAAGAAUUGCUCACUGGAAGGAUCAUAGGUGGCACUCAUGUCUCACUGCCCCACUCAGGGAGAUGGGGCCCCAUGGUUGUGCUUUAAGGAUGCUGUGGACUCCCUACAAUGUCAGCAACUGCUGUGUGCACCUGUAGCUCUCCAUUUCUCUCGAGAGAAGUCCUGUAGUUCUUCGCAAAUCCUUUUCAAAGGGGACUCGUGAUUCCAGAAGCAUCGAAGCCUUGAGGCUUGCCUGGAGAUUUUAGGUCUGGUGGCUGCAGAUGCAUAUGAGAUGUGGACUGCAAGAUAUUUCUCUACUGUUCAAAUCACGUGUUGGAGGCGACUCCCUAAAGUCAUAGGAUCUCAAAAUUGAAAGGAGCCUUAGGAAUAACCUAGUUUUCAGCACCGAAGCGAAGCUCUCAAGACUUUGUCAAAGGUCAGGCAGUUAACUUAAUGGCCGCAGGAAAAGCAAAGUCCAGGUCUCCCCUCUGCUUCUGCAAAGAACCGGUUCUGUUGGUCCAGUCGCUUGAGUUCCUACAUGAACCCAAAAAAACCAGUGAACAUCCUUCUGCAGGCUACAAAGCACUACGAUCUGCUUCCCUCCCUACCUCCUUCUCCUGACAUCCCCUCCUCCUGUCCUGCCCAGGUUCACUCCUCGCCCACCACGUGGUCUGCUUAGGGCUCCCACACAGCAAGCAUGUGCCCCCUUAGGGCCUGCGUCCUGGCUGCUCCCUCUCCUCGCUGCUCUUCCUCCCAGUACUCGGUUGGUUACUGCCCCAUCUUCGUCAAGCUGCCCACGUCUCACCUACUCCAUGUGAUUUACCCUGACCGCCCUGUUCAACACUGUAACUCCCUCCACCCCCGCCCCCCACCCCACCAGCAAUACUCAGUUCCGCUGCUUAUUUUUCCCAUAGCACGUGUCACCUUCUAAUACCCUAUACAAUUUGUCAGUUUUUUCCAUUUGAGUAUAAGCUCCACCAGGGCAGAGAUCUUUGUUUUAUUUGCUGAUAUAUCCCAAGAGCCUAGAGCAAUGCCUGGCACAGAGAAGGUACUCAAUACCGAAAACUCUUUUCUUUUUUUUUUUUUUUUUUGAGGCAGAGUCUCACUCUGUCACCUAGGCUGGGGUGCAGUGGCACGAUCUGGGCUCAAAGCAACCUCUGCCUCCCAGGUUCAAGCGAUUCUCCUGCCUCAGCCUCCUGAGUAGCUGAGACCACAGGCGUGCGCCACCGCACCCAGCUAAUUUUUUUGUAUUUUUACUAGAGAUGGGGUUUCACCAUGUUGGCAGGGCUGGCCUUGAACUCCUGGCCUUAAGUGAUCAGCCUGCUUUGGCCUCCCAAAGUGCUGGGAUUACACCACGCCCAGCCACAAUACUGAAAACUUGCUGAAUGAAUGAAUGAAUAUUCUCUCUCUGAAAAUUAGGACAUAAUUCCAAUUUAAGUCCCGAUAAAAGGAGCCACGAAGAGGCAAAAGAAUUAGGCAGGAAAGGUUGGGGUAGUGGUUACACUAGAUGCUUUACAGUUAUUUAUAGGGCAGGACUUAAACUCUUGGUUUGAUAAAAUAUAUGAAGGAGCAUAUAACUGACAGCUCAGCUCCGUUUUGCAAAGUGUCAGCCAGCACUUCUCUCUACACAAAACAGAUUAGUAACAUCUCUUCCUGCCAGAGGGCUUACAUGUUGCAAUUCUCUUGUAAAAAGUUUCUGAAUAUUUAAUAGUUGAAGUUGAAUGACUUUCUAAUAGGGUGUUGAUUUACUACAUCACUGACAUAAUUAAGAGGUAUCAAUUCAGGUCUGUUGGGAUUAAGUUUAUAACCCCCAAAGGUAAGCUUUCCGAGCCAAGCAAGUCAGAAAACAACAAGCACGUGAUGCAGAGGAACAUUGACACACCAGCUGAAGCCUCUGCAGCUGUGUUUUCCUAAGAUUCCCACCUUUGCUGCAGGCCCAGUGGGUGUCACCUUGUUCUGAGUGUGGGAGUGAAGCUACGGUGAACCCACAGCGUUAAGCCCGCGGUGGGGGACCCUGUGGGGGUCCCACAAACAGUCACCCUGAAGUUUUAAGCUUGGGAAGGAGACCCUGACCUACUUGCCUGUGUGGACUCCUGCCUGCUCUCUGUGCCAGGAUCCCGUGACAUGAAACAGAAUAAGUGCUUCAUAAACGGGAGUGACACUAGGCGUGGUGGCAUGCAUCUGGAGUCCUAGCUACGCGGGAGGCUGAGGCAGGAGGAUUGCCUGAGCCUAGGAGUUGGAGGCUCUAAUGCACUUGGAUAGCACCUAUGAAUAGCCAGUGCCCUCCAACCUGGGCAACAUAGUGAGCUCUUGUCACCAAAAAAAAAAAAAAAAAAGCUAGAAGAGAAUAAUUUGAAUAUUUCUAGCACAAAGAAAAGACAAAUAUUUAAGAUAAUGGAUAGCCCAGUUACACAGAUUUGAUCUUUACAAAUUAUAUGAAUGUAUUAAAUUAUCAUGGCUGGGUGCAGUGGCUCACACUUGUAAUCCCAGCACUUUUGGAGGCUGAGGUGGGUGGAUCAUCUGCGGUCAGGAGUUCCAGACCAGCCUGGCAAACACGGCAAACAUGUACUAAAAAUACAAAAAAUUAGCCAAGUGUGGUGGCAGGCACCUGUAAUCCCAGCAACUCAGGAGGCCGAGGCGGGAGAAUUGCUUGAACCUGGGAGGCAGAGUGCUUGCAGUGAGCCGAGACCGCACCACUGCUUUGUAGCCUGGGCAACAGAGUGAGAUGCCAUUUCAAUAAUAAUAAUAAACUAUCACAUGUAACCCCCAAAUAUGUACAUCAUUGUGUAUCAAUAAAAAUAAAUAAAUGUGAAUAAAUGACUGAGAGUAUGAAUAAUGCCAUCCCUCCAGCGCCCUUGCACUGUGGUUCUCCAGCACCUGCUACUUAGGUUUCUUCAGAUACCAGCUGCUCUGGGAGCUAUACCUUGUUUCAGGAUCUCAGUCACUGCCUUCAGCAGCCCACUAUCUGAUCCAAGCAGCCAUGGAUUCUCUUUUGUAUCCAGUCACUCCUGUACCCUCUUCCCUUUUAGGUUUUGCUACUGUCUUCAAACUUGCUUUGAAGAUUUGAGCUCCUGUGUCACCAGGUCACCCUCAGAGGCAUCAGGACAUGCUCUUCAAGUAAAGUCCAAAUGAGGGAUUAGACACUCUGGGCUUCAUUUCUCAGUGUCCUCUCUCAAGAGCUAGACUAUUACUUGCAUUUCUCAUCUCCUUGAAUCAUCAGCGCCUGGUGCUAUCAUUUAAAAUAGGGAAAGUUAUGAACUGGGUUAAAUUUUUUUUUUUUUUUUGAGAUAGAAUGUCACUUUGUUGCCCAGGCUAAAGUACAGUGGUGCAAUCUUGGUUCACUGCAACCUCCACCUCCCGAGUUCAAGCAAUUCUCCUGCCUCAGCCUCCCAAGUAGCUGGGAUUACAGGUGUUCACCACCAUGCCUGGCUAGUUUUUGUGCUUUUAGUAGAGACAGGGUUUCACCAUGUUGGCCAGGCUGGUCUCGAACUUAUGACCUCAAGUGAUCUGCCCGCCUCAGCCUCCCAAAGUGCUGGGAUUACAGGCGUGAGCCACCACACCCGGCCUCAAAAAAUAUUUUUUUAGAAAGAAAAAAGAAAGAAACAAAAACAAAUAAAAUAGGGAAAGAUGAUUAGUAAGUCUCUUCCUUUCCAGGGCCUUAGUUUUCCUACCUGUAAAAUACAGAGCAUGGUAUUUUUGGAGUCCAUGAAUCCACCAAGCACAGUAUCAUCUUUGCAUGGUGCUUUAAAGUAUAUAAAACAUUUUAGACAAACAAGAUCUUAUUUAACAAAAAAAUGCCCAAUAAAUGUUUGCUAACAGAAAUGAUAAUGCUGAUUCUGUGUGAGCUGAAAGAAGCCUGUUGAAGGUGAAUGUGUCGUCUAUCAUUAAGUCUGAGGACCAAUUAAAGUUAAAACAAGUAUGAGUCACUAAAUGUUAGAAUUAAUUUUGAAUCCCUUAGUUUAAUUCCUACAUGUUGUCAAUGCCUGAGGGAAAUGGUCUAGCCACAGGUGCCAGCUCAUAAGAAACGGGAAGGCCAGGUACGGUGGCUCACACCUGCCAUCCCAUCAUUUUGGGAGGCUGAGGCCAGCAGAUCAUUUGAGGCCAGGAGUUUGAGACCAGCCUGUGCAAUGUAGGGAGAUCUCUACAAAAAAGUAAUUAGCCAGACAUGGUGGUAUGCACCUGCAGUCCCCGCUGUUUGAGAGGCUGAGGCAGGAGGAUCACAUGAGCCUAGAAGUUCGAGGCCGCAGUGAGCUAUGAAUGCACCAUUGCACUCCAGCCUGAGCAAUAGAGUGAGACCUUGCCUCAAAAAUUAAAAAAUAAAAUAAAUAUAAAAAUAAAACAAGAGAGAGAGGGCACCGUCUCUGUGGUACUAUUUGGCUGUGUUACAUAACUGGCAUUUUAUUUGGAAAAAAAAAAUGUCCUCCAAGGGGUUCAUUUCCUCAGAUCAAAUGUCAUUCCAGGUGUUGGUAUGCAUUCGACGCGUGCAUUCUUCAGCCCUGGUUAUUCUGUUUUAUUUUAUGUAAAACUCUAUUUCAAAAUACAG
rnacentral:lncRNA from 10 species